rnacentral:rRNA from 1 species
AUGGUGGUCAGAGCUGCACUGCUCCCUGUCACGUUGCUGCUGUGCUUUGCACUGCCCGGCAGCGCCGAUGUCGCAAGGACGGCGGAUGGCUUCUACGAGCUCAAGAACAAGAAGGGGAAUUUCUCCAUCAAGGUCACCAACUGGGGAGCUACCCUCGUCUCUGUCGUCGUUCCUGAUUGCCAUGGGGACCUAACCGAUGUUGUACUUGGGUACGACACCGUUGCUGGAUACGCUAAAGGCGCUGCUGCCGGAUCGACUAUUGGGCGCGUAGCAAACAGAAUCGCCAACGCCCGCUUCGUGCUCGACGGCAAAACCUAUCGUCUCUUCCGUAACGACGGCAACAACACGAUUCAUGGCGGCCACAGGGGGUUCAACAAAGUCAUCUGGACGGUGAAGGAGCACGUGCAGUACGGCGACUCCCCGUACAUCACCUACUACCGCAGCUUCGACGGAGAGCAAGGAUUCCCGGGGUACCUGGACGUGUACGUCACGUACCGGCUCUCCGACCCGUACGACCUGAGCAUCCACAUGAACGCGACGGCGACGAGCAAGGCGACGCCGGUGAACCUGGUGAACCACGCGUACUGGAACCUCGCUGGCCACGGCAGCGGCGACGUCCUCGAGCACGAGCUCCAGAUGUUCGCGUCACAGUACACACCCGUGGACGGGUACAUGAUCCCGACGGGCCAGGUCGCGCCCGUGGCCGGCACAAACGACGUCUCCAGAGAAUAUUACAAGUGUUUCGAAGAAAAGGAAUAUCAAACGGAGUCCAAACGGAAUGAAACCUUCGGGAAAGUUAUUUUUGGAAAGGAAACAAUCCAGGAGACUUGGAGUUGA